rnacentral:antisense_RNA from 1 species
AGUCGACAAGCACCUAGACCUAAUAAGAUUAAAUGAAUACCUAAAAUUAUUGUAAUUUUAUUUCGAUCUUUCGA